GUGCGAGACCGAUAGCGAACAAGUACCGUGAGGGAAAGAUGAAAAGAACUUUGAAAAGAGAGUUAAAGAGUACCUGAAACUGCUGAAAGGGAAGCGAAUCGUAUCCAGUGUCUAUAAUCUGCGGCAUAUUUCAUUGGCGGCAGUGUGCGUGCUUUUGCGUCGGAAGCGGCUUUUGUUGCUCUGUGCUUCUGCUGUGCGUGCUGUUGCUGGUGCCCUGUGUUGCGGUGGGACGUCAGAGUCAGUUCGUAUGCUGCGGGAAAUGGCCGCCGAGGAGGUAGGUCAGGACUUCGGUCUUGGCUGUUAUAUCUUGGUGGUUUGUUGUCGUGGUUGGGACUGAGGUGCCUACAAUGUGCUUUUGAGUGUGCCGGGUUCUCAUUUGGUGGACUGUUUGGAUAGCUUGCUAUGCUUGUGGUUUUUUCAUCGAGUGAUUGAGUCUGGUGGUAACUUGUUGCUGUUCGGGACUUUGAA
rnacentral:rRNA from 2 species